AGUGGCGAACGGGUGAGUAACACGUGAGCAACCUGCCCGGAAGAUGGGAAUAGCCCGGCGAAAGCCGGAUUAAUGCCCGAUGUGAUCGCAAGAUUAAAGGUGGCUUCGGCUACCACUUCCGGAUGGGCUCGCGGCCUAUCAGCUAGUUGGCGGGGUAAUGGCCCACCAAGGCGACGACGGGUAACUGGUCUGAGAGGAUGAUCAGUCACACUGGAACUGAGACACGGUCCGGACACCUACGGGUGGCAGCAGUCGAGAAUCAUUCACAAUGGGCGAAAGCCUGAUGGUGUGACGCCGCGUGGAGGAUGACGGUCCUAGGAUUGUAAACUCCUGUCAUCAGGGAGUAAAGCUCUGGCGUUAAUAGCGUCAUGAGCUGAUAGUACCUGAAGAGGAAGGGGCGGCUAACUCUGUGCCAGCAGCCGCGGUAAUACAGAGGCCCCAAGCGUUGUUCGGAUUUACUGGGCGUAAAGAGUACGUAGGCGGCGAGGUAAGUCAGAUGUGAAAGACCGGGGCUCAACCCCGGAACUGCAUCCGAUACUGCCUUGCUUGAGGAUUGGAGAGGAGACUGGAAUUCAUGGUGUAGCAGUGAAAUGCGUGGGUAUCAUGAGGAAGACCAAUGGCGAAGGCAGGUCUCUGGACAAUUCCUGACGCUGAGGUACGAAGGCUGGGGGAGCAAAAAGGAUUAGAUACCCUUGUAGUCCCAGCAGUAAACGGUGUGCGCUUGGUGUG
rnacentral:rRNA from 1 species